rnacentral:lncRNA from 12 species
AAUGAGUAUGAUUAUACAUUCCCAGCAACAAUGUUCAGAAUCCAAGGAAGUAAGGAGGAUUAGACCCUGAACAUCUUGUAUCUCAAGAGUAUCCGAUGACAAGUUUGCUAAAGUCAGUUCCACAGGACUUUUUCAGUGAUUGAGCCAGUGGAGGACAAAAUAAACUCCGAUCUCCUUUUGUCAUUGGCAGAGAUGACUGGCCGUGCUGAAAGUUGUGCUCUCCCGGGGAGAAACCACAGACAUACAGAGGCAACAUCAAAUCUCAGCAAGUCUCUCCAAGUGUUGGGAUACCUUCAAGGGCUCCUUAGGCAUUCUCACUGCCAGAACCAGUCUUUUCUAGGUAUGGCACCACAAUGGCAGCCUGGAUACUUUCAGACACUCUUCUCCACGUUUAGUCCAGAUUCAAGCUGGAUCCAGAGGAUUCUAAGAGCUGUAUUCCAACAACUGUAUGAUAAGGGAGCACAUGUCAUUUCUUAAUUCUAACUCUUACACUACUCCAACAAAAAUUGUCAACCAACAAUAUUUACU